rnacentral:rRNA from 1 species
GUAGUCAUAUGCUUGUCUCAAAGAUUAAGCCAUGCAUGUCUAAGUAUAAGCAACUAUACGGUGAAACUGCGAAUGGCUCAUUAAAUCAGUUAUCGUUUAUUUGAUAGUACCUUACUACUUGGAUAACCGUGGUAAUUCUAGAGCUAAUACAUGCUAAAAACCCCGACUUCGGAAGGGGUGUAUUUAUUAGAUAAAAAACCAAUGCUCUUCGGAGCUCCUUGGUGAUUCAUAAUAACUAAACGAAUCGCAUGGCCUUGCGCCGGCGAUGGUUCAUUCAAAUUUCUGCCCUAUCAACUUUCGAUGGUAGGAUAG